rnacentral:tRNA from 2 species
CGGGGCGUAGCGCAGCUUGGCUAGCGCGCCUGCUUUGGGAGCAGGAGGUCGGGAGUUCGAAUCUCCCCGCCCCGA